rnacentral:misc_RNA from 1 species
AAGUCGUAACAAGGUUUCCGUAGGUGAACCUGCGGAAGGAUCAUUACCAAAUUAUUAAUGUGUAGUGGAAUUUGUAGGAGUUUGUAACCAAGCUCCUAUGAAAUGGGGUAGGAAAUGUGACCUUGCUACUAGGUGUGGCCGAGUAUUUACUCGGCGUGCCCUGGGAACGAACGCGUUUCUUAUUCCUAAGAAAAACAACAACUACGAUUCAAUCACAAAUACAUACAACUUUUAACAAUGGAUCUCUAGGCUCUU